rnacentral:rRNA from 2 species
CCUGGCGGCCUUAGCGCGGUGGUCCCACCUGACCCCAUGCCGAACUCAGAAGUGAAACGCCGUAGCGCCGAUGGUAGUGUGGGGUCUCCCCA